GAACUUGGAGCCCGAAAACCCAAAUUUGAAUCUGGACCUUUUCAUGAUCAUCAGUGUGGUUUGGGCAAGUUGCUUAACUGCUUUUAUACCCACUACUUAUCCAUAAAUGCUUACUUCAUCCAGAAUCUGAAACCCCAAUGAGACAGUGCUCUUGAAAGUGCUCUGCAAACACUGAAAUACUGUAUCCAUGUGAGACAAGACCUGCUGGAGACUUUUCUAGCGGAGCACCUUUCUCGUAGUUGCUUGGCUAUUCAAAAAUUGAAUUCAAUUCAACAAAUAGGUAUUGAAUGGCUGGUAGGAAAUAGACAUUAUGCUAGGUGCUGGCCAUACAAAGAUGAAGACAUAGAUCAGGUAACUUAAGGAGUGCUGAGAUUUGUAAGGGGAGGUGGACAUUUACACAAGGGGAUACUACAAGGACAAUAAGAGAUGCAGCUUCAAGGGACAGAAACAGAACAAAGGACAAAGGAGGGGAUGCUCACUCUGGAAUAUGGUGGUCAGGAGAGAGAAAGAGAUAUUUGUGCCAGCUUGAACAAUCAGGUCUUCUAGGUGGAAAAUAAAGAAGAAGGUUGCUCCAGUUUGAGGGAUGAGCAUAUGCAAAGAUACAGAAUUGUUACUCAGCCAAGUAGUUUGAUAUGGGCUGGGGCACUGAAUGGUAGGGUGGGAUUCAGACCAGAUCAUUGACAGAUAAAUGAGAUUAUCAUUCAAUGUAGAUUGACACAAAUCACUUUUUUUUUGGAGAAAGAAAAAUGAUAUUUAAUGGCAGGUUUAAAAUUACGAUGGCUUUAAAAGGAACAGAAUUAUUGCACUCACUUUUUAAGUACCUGGUUAUCUCUCUGAACCACAGGUAACCGGAGUUCAAAGAGUUAACAUAGUCUGAAGCCUCUCAUUGGUCUCAGAUCCAGAAAAGUUGCUAGGUUACUUUGCAGAAGAGAAACAAAUAAAAACACUUUCCCAAUUGAAAAGAAAAUUAAUAGUAAAAGAUGUGUUUAGGGACUUUACACAUCUGCAGAGCAUUUUGUGUGUGUGUGUGUGUGUGUGUGUGUGUGUGUGUGUAACAGCAUUAACACUUAAGUAAUAAAAAUAACUAGGGUGGUUGGGUUUUCAGACUUGCAGGAUAGAACUUGUAUGAAAGGUCUGGUAAGGAGUGUCAAGUAUAAUGAGGAAUAAGAAAGGUUAAAGAGUUUAAAACCAAUUAGAAUUUGAAGUUCUUGAUUUCAGAACUCUAAAAUCCUUUUUUUUUUUUAAGUAUGAUAUCUCUUUAAGAGCCAUUUGGUGUACUUCAUAGCCUGAUUCAUGCCACCAGCUGCCUCUGAUUUCAAUGAGAAAUGCAGAAAAUUUAUAGGGAACUGUAAAAUGGGGACAGAUUUUUAGUUUUCUAAAUUGAGGUUUAACUGGCAAACUUGUAAAGGUUGAAGAAACCACAGAGCCAAGCUAUGGGAAGCUGGUUUCUUUUCUGGUCAGAAGGAAUGAACACACAAACGCAUAUCUAACUCACAAAGUGCUGGAAGAGAGAAAGCAAUGCUCUUUCCAGAGGAGGAACACGGAAAAAUCAGCCUUGUGGGUGAACAGGAGGAGAGUCACAUUCGCCAGCAGGCAGCACCCUGUGCAGGCAGUGGGAGAAAUCUGAGCUUCAGCAGCGUCCGGAGCAGGAUUUGCACGAAGUCUCCUGUUUCAAGUUUUAUGUCUCCUGGAGUCCUGGGGAAGGCACCCAGCCCACCCACAGCUCCCUUCUCAGAGCCCUAAGAAUUGAUGAGAAAGCCCCUCACUACCACAUGCAGGACAGGCAGGUAAAGACAUUGAGGUUCAGAGAAACUAAGCCUGCCCGUGCCUGUAAGUGAAUGAUAUAUGUCUAGAGCCCAGGGCCCCCCUGAUCUCAAGUGCAAAGCUCUUCCCUGUCGUCUGCAAAUUUCUCGUACUUCUUGUGGACUCUGAACAUUCAUGUGCCAUGCUGACAUGUGAUUACAAGAUUUUACAGAAGACAAAAAAUAGCUUCUAUUUAAAAAAAUAAAUGAUUAGGCUCUGUUAUGGGCUGAAUUACAUUCCCCUCAAAUGCAUAUGUUGAAUUUCUAACCCUCAGUACUUCAGAAGGUGACUGUGUUUGGAAAAAGGGCUUUUAAUGAGGUGUUUAAGUUAAAAUGGGAUCCUUAGAAUGGGCCCUAAUCCAAUACAAUUGGUGGCUUUAUAAGAGGACAUUAAGACACAGACACACACAGAGGGAAGACCAUGUGAAGACGUAGGGUGAAGACGGCCAUCUGCAGGCCAAGGAUAAAAGCCACAAAAGAAACCAAAUCUGCCAACACUUCCAUCUCGGACAGGUUUUGUUUAUAGUCCCGAAAGACACAAUCCUGAAAUCUAUAAUCCCAAAUAUGGAAAUUCCAAAAAGUCAAAACCUCUAAAGUCUAAAUCCCUAAUAUCUAAAAUCCCCAAAAUCAAAAUCACAAGAUAGUUGCAUCACAUUAGGUGGAAAUAUUUACUUUGUCACUGUCUUUAUGCAGAGGAAAAUGGAUUUCAAUUGAAUCCUCAAACCACAAAGACAGAUUUGGAAUUAGGUGUGAUUGAGGUUUCUAAAGGUGAACUUCAAGGUGUUACCAAUAAAGUCUGUUUUUUUCCAUUCUGUCCAAUGUGUUUGGCAGAAACUUCAGAUGAGUGGACUGGUCACAUGAUACAGCAAUGACAAAAGCUUCAGUAUUGGCAUUCAUUCCAGCUGAUGGCAUUCCAGGAGCUUUUAAUGAAUUAAAGCCACAUUUGCCUGAAGAAGCCAGCGAAGUUACUAACUGGUUCAAAAACGAUUAUGUGCACGAUGGGCAGUAUUGUUGCAGUUCAGUCACCAGUAUUGCUUCCACCAGAUUUGUGGUCUAUAUAUGUGUGCAUAUGGAAUAGAUUUCCACAGACCCACAACGCGGAAGCAUGGCACAGAAGAUGGGAAAACUUAAUGGGGAAUACUCACGUAGAUGUAUAUUAAACCAUAGAAGAAUUUUGAAAAGAGCAGCGUCACAUAGAAAAUAAAUGUGAACAUAUUCUCCAAGGACAGCCAUGUCCUAAAAGAAAAAAAGCAGCUAUUUUUUGUGAUGUGAGACUUAAAAAUAUAGUUAAUGACUGUGAAAGUUGGCCAGCUCUUAUGGACUAUCUCCAUGCAAUUGCCCAUAAUCUAGCUCCAUAACUUUUUUAUUUGUUGAAUUUUCUUUUUAGUUUUUAGUUUUUAUUUUUAGUUUUUUUCACUAUUUGAAAUUGUCAGCAUUAUUUUUUAUAAUUCGCUAUGCUACCUAUUUCAUCUUUGCAUCAUUUCCAAUACUGCAUGCGUUGUAUAAAGAGUUUUAGAGAGUCCUAAUUUGCUUUGUGCAUUUUUGCAAAUGUAACUCCAUGAAAGUGCAUUUUCAAAAUGUUGAACUUGCGUGUAAGCAGUAUGUGUGUGCAUAAAGACAUUAAAACUUCCUCGACAAAUGAAAAUGUAUCUUCUUUGUACAUCUGCUUUUAUGAAAGAUACAAUUUCUCAAUGCCUUGGCUCUUUGGGCAACUGAUGUGGUGGUGAUAUGGUAGUGACUCAUCACGGUUUUUGAUCAAUCUUAUCAAAAGACUUAGAAGAGUCUAAGAAUCACAGCAUUUCAGAUAACUGCUGUAUAAAGCUGGGGGCACACAAUUACCAACCACAGUGUGAUAUACAUUUUUAUAUUUUGCUUUUUGAUUUAUUUAUUUAUGAAUAUGGUUCAUCUGUUCAUAACUGUUAAACCCAUGUGACUGUUGUUAGUAUAUCUGAGUGUUUCUGCUUGCAAAAAUAUGGUAUUAUUGUCCAUUUUAUUGUGUAAAGUAGCCUAUGAAGAGUUCUGUCAUGUUUUUGUGUGUUUCUUAAAUAAAUCCCCUUUAAAAAUGUAAGUAAAUAUUUUACAACGUUUUGAAAACUUUUUUUUUUUUUUUUUUUUAAGAUGGAGUCUCACUUUUUUUGUUGUUGCCCAGGCUGGAGUGCAGUGGCACAAUCUCAGCUCACUGCAACAUCCACCUCCUGGGUUCAAGCUAUUCUCCUGCCUCAGCCUCCUGAGUAGCUGGGAUUACAGGCAUCCACCACCAUGCCUGGCUAAUUUUUGUAUUUUUAGUAGAGAUGGGGUUUCGCCAUGUUGGCCAGGCUGGUUUUGAACUCCUGGCCUCUGGUGAUCCACCCACCUCGGCCUCCCAAAGUGCUGGGAUUACAGGCGUGAGCCACUGCACCCGGCUGAAAAAGUUUUUUUCUAAAAUAUUUUUGGAAUUUUGAUUUUUCAGGAUUUUAACAUUGGGGAUGAUGGCAUUUGGGAUUAUGAUCAGCUCCCAUCUUGGACUUCUGGCCUCUAGAAUUGUGAGAAAAUAAAUAUCUGUGAUUUAAGUCCC